rnacentral:rRNA from 1 species
GCAUAUCAAUAAGCGGAGGAAAAGAAACCAACAGGGAUUGCCUUAGUAGCGGCGAGCGAAGCGGCAACAGCUCAAAUUUGAAAUCUGGCUACUUCGUAGUCCGAGUUGUAAUUUGUAGAGGAUGCUUUUGGUGAGGUGCCUUCCGAGUUCCCUGGAACGGGACGCCGGAGAGGGUGAGAGCCCCGUACGGUUGGAUACCAAGCCUUUGUAUAGCUCCUUCAACGAGUCGAGUAGUUUGGGAAUGCUGCUCUAAAUGGGAGGUAUAUCUCUUCUAAAGCUAAAUACCGGCUAGAGACCGAUAGCGCACAAGUAGAGUGAUCGAAAGAUGAAAAGCACUUUGAAAAGAGAGUUAAACAGCACGUGAAAUUGUUGAAAGGGAAGCGCCUAUGACCAGACUUGUUUCUGUCAGUUUUGCUUGUUUUCGGACUUGUUUACUCUGUCAGUACAGGCCAACAUCAGUUUGUUGUUUGGGAGAAAGGCUUAGGGAAUGUGGCUCUUUCGAGAGUGUUAUAGCCCUUUGCAUAAUACCAUUCGGCAGACUGAGGACCGCGCUUCGGCAAGGAUGUUGGCGUAAUGGUCAUCAGCGACCCGUCUUGAAACACGGACCAAGGAGUCAACCUUAUGUGCGAGUGUUUGGGUGUAAAACCCCAGCGCGUAAUGAACGUGAACGUAGGUGAGAGCUUCGGCGCAUCAUCGACCGAUUCUGAUGUUCUCGGAUGGAUUUGAGUAAGAGCAUAUAGGGUUGGACCCGAAAGAAGGUGAACUAUGCUUGUAUAGGGUGAAGCCAGAGGAAACUCUGGUGGAGGCUCGCAGCGGUUCUGACGUGCAAAUCGAUCGUCAAAUAUGAGCAUGGGGGCGAAAGACUAAUCGAMCCUUCUAGUAGCUGGUUCCAGCGA